rnacentral:rRNA from 1 species
GGACGAACGCUGGCGGCGUGCUUAACACAUGCAAGUCGAACGAGAAGAGAUGAGAAGCUUGCUUCUUAUUGAUUCGAGUGGCAAACGGGUGAGUAACGCGUAAGCAACCUGCCCUUCAGAUGGGGACAACAGCUGGAAACGGUUGCUAAUACCGAAUACGUUCUUUUUGUCGCAUGGCAGAGGGAAGAAAGGGAGGCUCUUCGGAGCUUUCGCUGAAGGAGGGGCUUGCGUCUGAUUAGCUAGUUGGAGGGGUAACGGCCCACCAAGGCGACGAUCAGUAGCCGGUCUGAGAGGAUGAACGGCCACAUUGGGACUGAGACACGGCCCAGACUCCUACGGGAGGCAGCAGUGGGGAAUCUUCCGCAAUGGGCGCAAGCCUGACGGAGCAACGCCGCGUGAGUGAAGAAGGUUUUCGGAUCGUAAAGCUCUGUUGAGAGGGACGAGAGAUAUAAUCAGGAAAUGGGUUAUAGAGGACGGUACCUUUCGAGGAAGCCACGGCUAACUACGUG